GACGGAGGGGGCUAGCGUUGUUCGGAAUGACUGGGCGUAAAGGGCGCGUAGGCGGUAUUUUAAGUGAGGCGUGAAAGCCCCGGGCUUAACCCGGGAGGUGCGUUUCAUACUGAAAUGCUAGAGUGCGAGAGAGGAAAGUGGAAUUCCUAGUGUAGAGGUGAAAUUCGUAGAUAUUAGGAAGAACACCAGAGGCGAAGGCGGCUUUCUGGCUCGCAACUGACGCUGAGGCGCGAAAGCGUGGGGAGCAAACAGG
rnacentral:rRNA from 1 species